rnacentral:tRNA from 1 species
GGGCCGGUAGCUCAGCCUGGAAGAGCGCUCGGCUUGCAACCAAGGGCAGGACACCGAGAGGUCCCCGGGUUCAAAUCCCGGCCGGUCCA